rnacentral:rRNA from 1 species
AGAGUUUGAUUCUGGCUCAGAACGAACGCUGGCGGCGCGUCUUAAACAUGCAAGUCGAACGAGAAUCCCGGUGCUUGCAUUGGGAGGAGAGUGGCGAACGGGUGAGUAACACGUGGAUAAUCUGCCUCCAGGAUUGGGAUAACUACUCGAAAGGGUGGCUAAUACCGAAUAACAUGGCACGCUACACAAGUAGUAGCCAUUAAAGGUGGGGACCGCAAGGCCUACCACCUGGAGAUGAGUCCGCGGCCCAUUAGCUAGUUGGCGGGGUAAUGGCCCACCAAGGCGACGAUGGGUAGCCGGCCUGAGAGGGUGACCGGCCACAUUGGGACUGAGAUACGGCCCAGACUCCUACGGGAGGCAGCAGUUAAGAAUCUUGCGCAAUGGGGGAAACCCUGACGCAGCGACGCCGCGUGGACGAUGAAGGCCUUCGGGUUGUAAAGUCCAAUAAGCAGGGAAGAAUAAGCAACGGGUAAUAUUCGUUGUGAUGACGGUACCUGCCUAAAGCCCCGGCUAACUACGUGCCAGCAGCCGCGGUAAUACGUAUGGGGCUAGCGUUGUUCGGAAUUAUUGGGCGUAAAGGGCGUCUAGGCGGGGGAUUAAGUUGGGUGUGAAAUCCCUGGGCUCAACCCAGGAACUGCAUCCAAAACUGGUUCUCUUGAGUUCGGGAGAGGAGAGCGGAAUUCCCGGUGUAGCGGUGAAAUGCGUAGAUAUCGGGAAGAACACCAGUGGCGAAGGCGGCUCUCUGGCCUAGAACUGACGCUGAAGCGCGAAAGCGUGGGGAGCGAACGGGAUUAGAUACCCCGGUAGUCCACGCUGUAAACGUUGUAUACUAGGUGUUUGUGGGUCUCCCACAAGUGCCGACGCAAACGCAUUAAGUAUACCGCCUGGGGAGUACGCCCGCAAGGGUGAAACUCAA